rnacentral:rRNA from 1 species
UACGUUGGGGGCAAGCGUUAUCCGGAUUUACUGGGUGUAAAGGGAGCGCAGACGGUCAUACAAGUCUGAAGUGAAACCCCACGGCUCAACUGUGGGCUUGCUUUGGAAACUGCGUGACUCGAGUGUCGGAGGGGUAAGCGGAAUUCCCGGUGUAGCGGUGAAAUGCGUAGAUAUCGGGAAGAACACCGGCGGCGAAGGCGGCUUACUGGACGACAACUGACGUUGAGGCUCGAAGGCGUGGGGAGCAAAC